GCCUGUGGUCUAGUGGUUGGAGUCCUGGACUAGGACUACAGGGAGACCAGGGUUCAAAUCCCUGCUCAGCCC